GAUAUCUCGGAGAUCAAAUGGGACAUGCUCAUACAAUCCAUCUCAAGGCCUACACCUUCUUCAUGUUCGCCACCUUUGGAUCUGGAGCUAGCAUGCUGCUUCUGACAUGGCUCCAUCGUAGCUGCCGCAUCUCUAUUAAAACCUUUAGAAGCCUCAAGUAUACAACAUUGGGGUUUCUAACCCUCGCAAUGUUUGAUGUUUCCUUUCUUUUCCUAAAGAUUUUUGCCAUUCUUGCCAUUGUUCCGACAUUGCUUAUGGCGAUAAUCGCAUCCUUGAUGGCUUUAUGCAGUAAUGGGUCUCCAUGGAGUUAUGACCAAGAUUCAGAUGCUUUUUUGUGGAUGCAGGUACCAUAAUGGGAGCAGGACUAAAAGCGUAGGAGUGGGUAUUCCAAUGUAUUGAUAGCAAUUUGCAAGCUCUUGUCAAGCCUCAUCGGUGUAGUUUCUGAAUCAACUUAAUUAAUGAUCGGAGGUUGAAGCGCAUUUGUUCAUCCAAAUGUAAGCUGGUUUGGAGGAAGUUUUCUGACCAGCUGAUUCGUCACUGAUUAAUUAAGCUGAAGUCCUUGACAGUCCACGUGAUCCAUAUAU